UAGGGAAUCUUCCGCAAUGGACGCAAGUCUGACGGAGCAACGCCGCGUGAGUGAAGAAGGAUUUCGGUUCGUAAAACUCUGUUGUUAGAGAAGAACAGCGCAUAGAGUAACUGUUAUGCGUGUGACGGUAUCUAACCAGAAAGCCACGGCUAACUACGUGCCAGCAGCCGCGGUAAUACGUAGGUGGCAAGCGUUGUCCGGAUUUAUUGGGCGUAAAGCGAGCGCAGGCGGUCAAUUAAGUCUGAUGUGAAAGCCCCCGGCUCAACCGGGGAGGGUCAUUGGAAACUGGUUGACUUGAGUGCAGAAGAGGAGAGUGGAAUUCAAUGUGUAGCGGUGAAAUGCGUAGAUAUAUGGAGGAACACCAGUGGCGAAGGCGACUCUCUGGUCUGUAACUGACGCGGAGGCUCGAAAGCGUGGGUAGCAAACAGG
rnacentral:rRNA from 1 species